rnacentral:rRNA from 1 species
ACUCAAUAGAUACCCGGGUAGUCCACGCCGUAAACGAUGAGUGCUAAGUGUUAGAGGGUUUCCGCCCUUUAGUGCUGCAGCUAAACGCAUUAAGCACUCCGCCUGGGGAGUACGGUCGCAAGACUGAAACUCAAAGGAAUUGACGGGGGCCCGCACAAGCGGUGGAGCAUGUGGUUUAAUUCGAAGCAACGCGAAGAACCUUACCAGGUCUUGACAUCCUCUGACAACUCUAGAGAUAGAGCGUUCCCCGUUCGGGGGUACAGAGUGACAGGUGGUGCAUGGUUGUCGUCAGCUCGUGUCGUGAGAUGUUGGGUUAAGUCCCGCAACGAGCGCAACCCUUGAUCUUAGUUGCCAGCAUUUAGUUGGGCACUCUAAGGUGACUGCCGGUGACAAACCGGAGGAAGGUGGGG